rnacentral:ncRNA from 1 species
CCAAAAACACACUGUUUUGGUCCUAAACUUGCCGCUAUUUUUUACUAAACUUACACAUGCAAGCAUCCACAUACCAGUGAAAAUGCCCACCUAGUCUAAAGACAAACGGAGCUGGUAUCAGGCACAACUCGUUUGGCCAAUGACACCUUGCCCUGCCACAUCCCCACGGACCUGCAGCAGUGAUUAAUAUUAGAUAUAAGCGAAAGCUUGAUCUAGCUAUAGUAAGCUAAGGGCCGGUAAAUUUCGUGCCAGCCACCGCGGUUAUACGAAAGGCCCAAAAUAGUUGCCCACGGCGUAAAGAGUGGUUAGAACACACCCAAUUAAGGAAAAACACCUUCUUAGCUGUAAAACGCUCAAGAAGACAAGAACAUUAAAACCCUAAAACCCUUUAACCCCACGAAAGCCAGGGAACAAACUGGGAUUAGAUACCCCACUAUGCCUGGCUAUAAACUUAGAUAGCAAAAUACAACCUAUCCGCCAGAGAACUACAAGCAAAAUACUUAAAACUCAAAGGACUUGGCGGCAUUCCACAUCAACCUAGAGGAGCCCGUCUAGUAAUCGAUAAUACACGCUCAACCCUACCAUUCUUGGCCACUCCAGCCUAUAUACCGCCGUCGCCAGCUAACCUUGUGAAAGAAACGCAGUAAGCAAAAUAGUCCCCACUAAAACGUCAGGUCAAGGUGUAGCUAAUAAAAUGGAUACGAUAGGCUACAUUUUCUAUUAUAGAAAACACGGAAAAUAUAAUGAAACCUUGUAAUAGAAGGCGAAUUUAGAAGUAAAUUAAGAAAGGAUCCUUAUUUUAACCCUGCCCUGGAAUGCGCACACACCGCCCGUCACCCUCCUCAAAUGCACCAGAGGAGGUAAG